UACGUAGGGUGCGAGCGUUAAUCGGAAUUACUGGGCGUAAAGGGUGCGCAGGUGGCGCCGUAAGUCGGGUGUGAAAUUUCGGAGCUUAACUCCGAAACUGCAUUCGAUACUGCGGUGCUUGAGGACUGGAGAGGAGACUGGAAUUCAUGGUGUAGCAGUGAAAUGCGUAGAGAUCAUGAGGAAGACCAGUGGCGAAGGCGGGUCUCUGGACAGUUCCUGACACUGAGGCACGAAGGCCAGGGGAGCAAACGGG
rnacentral:rRNA from 1 species